rnacentral:rRNA from 1 species
CUAUCGCCUGAAGAGGGGUUUGCGUCUGAUUAGGCAGUUGGUGAGGUAACGGCCCACCAAACCUACGAUCAGUAGCCGGUCUGAGAGGAUGAACGGCCACACUGGAACUGAGACACGGUCCAGACUCCUACGGGAGGCAGCAGUGGGGAAUCUUCCGCAAUGGACGAAAGUCUGACGGAGCAACGCCGCGUGAGUGAUGACGGCCUUCGGGUUGUAAAGCUCUGUGAUCGGGGACGAAUGGCUGGUAUGCUAAUACCAUAUCAGAGUGACGGUACCCGAAUAGCAAGCCACGGCUAACUACGUGCCAGCAGCCGCGGUAAUACGUAGGUGGCAAGCGUUGUCCGGAAUUAUUGGGCGUAAAGCGCGCGCAGGCGGCUUCUUAAGUCCAUCUUAAAAGUGCGGGGCUUAACCCCGUGAUGGGAUGGAAACUGGGAGGCUGGAGUAUCGGAGAGGAAAGUGGAAUUCCUAGUGUAGCGGUGAAAUGCGUAGAGAUUAGGAAGAACACCGGUGGCGAAAGGCGACUUUCUGGACGACAACUGACGCUGAGGCGCG